GUUAUAGGAUCAAGCGACGAAGUGCAUGUGGUGGAUGCCUUGGCGAUCACAGGCGAUGAAGGACGUGGUAGCCUGCGUAAAGCUGCGGGGAGCUGGCAAACAAGCAUAGAUCCGCAGAUGUCCGAAUGGGGAAACCCGGCGCAAGCGCAGAGCGCUUGCGCAGAGACUAGAAACUAGAAGCUAGAAACUAGAUAAAUUCUUUCGCGGCCAAGCCGCGGGUUUGUCUAGUCUCUAGUUUCUAGUCACUAGUUUCUGCGCGCGAGUGCUGUGCGCUUGCGUCACCGGCGCGUGAAUACAUAGCGCGCAUGGAGCGAACGCGGCGAACUGAAACAUCUCAGUAGCCGCAGGAACAGAAAUCAACCGAGAUUCCCAAAGUAGUGGCGAGCGAAAUGGGAAGAGCCUGCACGAUUUAGCAAUUGCGUUAGCCAAACGCUCUGGAAAGGGCGGCCGCAGUGGGUGAUAGCCCCGUAGGCGAAAGCGCGAAUGUGGAACUGAGCGUGCGAGAAGUAGGGCGGGACACGUGAAAUCCUGUCUGAAGAUGGGGGGACCAUCCUCCAAGGCUAAAUACUCGUGAUCGACCGAUAGUGAACCAGUACCGUGAGGGAAAGGCGAAAAGAACCCCGGGAGGGGAGUGAAAUAGAUCCUGAAACCGCAUGCAUACAAACAGUCGGAGCUCCGUCACUCAAUUGCUUUGCAAUGGAGUGGCUCCGCUCCUCCUGGAAACUAGUGUCUAGAAACUAGAAACUAGAGAAAGUCAGGCCGUGCUGGCGCACGGCGUUGUUCGUACGAUAGCAGCGCAGCUGCUCUGAAUUCUCUAGUUUCUAGUCUCUAGUAUCUAGUUUCUAGAACGGAGUCACUCGAAGCGCAAAGCGCUUGAGUGACGGAGUGACGGCGUACCUUUUGUAUAAUGGGUCAGCGACUUACGUUGUGUAGCGAGCUUAACCGCAUAGGGGAGGCGUAGGGAAACCGAGUCCGAACAGGGCGAAUAGUUGCACGGCGUAGACCCGAAACCGGAUGAUCUACUCAUGGCCAGGAUGAAGGUGGGGUAACGCUCACUGGAGGUCCGAACCCACUAGUGUUGAAAAACUAGGGGAUGAGCUGUGGGUAGGGGUGAAAGGCUAAACAAAUCCGGAAAUAGCUGGUUCUCUCCGAAAGCUAUUUAGGUAGCGCCUCGUGUAUCACUCUCGGGGGUAGAGCACUGUAAUGGUUGCGGGGGUCAUCGCGACUUACCGCGCCAUAGCAAACUCCGAAUACCGAGAAGUGCGAGCACGGGAGACAGACGUCGGGUGCUAACGUCCGACGUCAAGAGGGAAACAACCCAGACCGCCAGCUAAGGUCCCCAAGCACAGUUAAGUGGGAAACGAGGUGGGAAGGCUCAGACAGCCAGGAUGUUGGCUUAGAAGCAGCCAUCAUUUAAAGAAAGCGUAAUAGCUCACUGGUCGAGUCGUCCUGCGCGGAAGAUGUAACGGGGCUCAAACUGUGCACCGAAGCUGCGGGUUUAGAGACUAGAAACUAGAGACUAGAAACUAGAGGAAAAUCGAAUGCCGUAUCAUCGGCUGGAUGUUUAUCAAAAAGCGUAUCAGCUUGCGCUAGAAAUGCACCGUUUAUCGCUCGGCUUUCCGAAGAUCGAGCAAUACGGGUUGGCGCAGCAAAUGCGGGCGUCGAGCAAGUCCAUCGCGGCGAAUAUUGCCGAGGGGAUGGGCAAGCAAGGCAGUCCGGCGGAAGUCAGACGCUUUAUUCGGAUGGCGAUGGGGUCGUGCGACGAGACCAGAGUGUGGUUAGAGUUUGCACGCGACUUAGGCUAUCUGACAGUUGAUCUCCAGUCGUCGCUGAAUGCGCGAUAUCAGGAAGUAGGAAAGAUGUUGCGCGGGGUGAUGAACCGUUAUGGCGAAGCGCCGACGGGAUGAGCGGCCAAGGUUUUUAUCUAGUAUCUAGUUUCCAGUUUCUAGUCUCUAGACGGUAGGAGAGCGUUCCGUAAGCCUGUGAAGGUGGCUUGUAAAGGCUGCUGGAGGUAUCGGAAGUGCGAAUGCUGACAUGAGUAGCGAUAAUGCGGGUGAAAGGCCCGCACGCCGAAAGCCCAAGGUUUCCUGCGCAACGUUCAUCGGCGCAGGGUGAGUCGGCCCCUAAGGCGAGGCAGAAAUGCGUAGUCGAUGGGAAACUGGUUAAUAUUCCAGUACCGACCUAGGAUGCGAUGGGGGGACGGAGAAGGUUAGGCUGGCCGGGUGUUGGACGUCCCGGUUCAAGCGUGUAGGUGGGUCUGCCAGGCAAAUCCGGUGGGCUAACACUGAGGCGUGAUGACGCAAGGCUCUUCGGAGCCCCAAGUAGCUGAUACCCUGCUUCCAGGAAAAGCCUCUAAGCUUCAGUUCUAGGUUGACCGUACCGCAAACCGACACAGGUGGGCAGGAUGAGAAUUCUCAGGCGCUUGAGAGAACUCGGGUGAAGGAACUCGGCAAAUUAGCACCGUAACUUCGGGAUAAGGUGCGCCCCAAGUAGGUGAAGGCGAACAGCCGGAGCCCAAAGGGGUCGCAGUGAAAAGGUGGCUGCGACUGUUUAAUAAAAACACAGCACUCUGCAAAGACGAAAGUCGACGUAUAGGGUGUGACGCCUGCCCGGUGCCGGAAGGUUAAGUGAUGGGGUGCAAGCUCUUGAUCGAAGCCCCGGUAAACGGCGGCCGUAACUAUAACGGUCCUAAGGUAGCGAAAUUCCUUGUCGGGUAAGUUCCGACCUGCACGAAUGGCGUAACGAUGGCCACACUGUCUCCACCCGAGACUCAGCGAAGUUGAAAUGUUUGUGAUGAUGCAAUCUCCCCGCGGCUAGACGGAAAGACCCCGUGAACCUUUACUGUAGCUUUGCAUUGGACUGUGAUGAGACUUGUGUAGGAUAGGUGGGAGGCGAUGAAACCCGGUUGCUAGAUCGGGCGGAGCCAACCUUGAAAUACCACCCUGGUGUCAUUGCGGUUCUAACCUAGGUCCAUUAUCUGGAUCGGGGACCGUGCAUGGUAGGCAGUUUGACUGGGGCGGUCUCCUCCCAAAGAGUAACGGAGGAGCUCGAAGGUCCGCUAGGUACGGUCGGACAUCGUACUGAUAGUGUAAUGGCACAAGCGGGCUUGACUGCGAGACUGACAAGUCGAGCAGGUGCGAAAGCAGGACAUAGUGAUCCGGUGGUUCUGUAUGGAAGGGCCAUCGCUCAACGGAUAAAAGGUACUCCGGGGAUAACAGGCUGAUACCGCCCAAGAGUUCAUAUCGACGGCGGUGUUUGGCACCUCGAUGUCGGCUCAUCACAUCCUGGGGCUGUAGCCGGUCCCAAGGGUAUGGCUGUUCGCCAUUUAAAGUGGUACGUGAGCUGGGUUUAAAACGUCGUGAGACAGUUUGGUCCCUAUCUGCCGUGGGCGCUGGAAGUUUGAGAGGGGCUGCUCCUAGUACGAGAGGACCGGAGUGGACGUGCCUCUGGUGUACCGGUUAUGACGCCAGUCGUAUCGCCGGGUAGCUACGCACGGAAGAGAUAACCGCUGAAAGCAUCUAAGCGGGAAACUCGCCUCAAGAUGAGACUUCCCGGAGGCUUGACCUCCCUAAAGGGUCGUCCCAGACCAGGACGUUGAUAGGCUCCAUGUGGAAGCGCAGUAAUGCGUUAAGCUAAGGAGUACUAAUUGCCCGUGAGGCUUGAUCCUAUAACCGUA
rnacentral:rRNA from 1 species